UUUUAGCCCUGAUCGAAACGGCAUCCUUUUAAUGGCUUAUUGCGAGGAACGAGCAAAAAGCAAAUAAAAGAUAUAGUGCAGAGCGGGAGUAGCU
rnacentral:sRNA from 1 species